AUUGAACGCUGGCGGCAGGCCUAACACAUGCAAGUCGAGCGGAUGAAGGGAGCUUGCUCCUGGAUUCAGCGGCGGACGGGUGAGUAAUGCCUAGGAAUCUGCCUGGUAGUGGGGGAUAACGUCCGGAAACGGGCGCUAAUACCGCAUACGUCCUGAGGGAGAAAGUGGGGGAUCUUCGGACCUCACGCUAUCAGAUGAGCCUAGGUCGGAUUAGCUAGUUGGUGGGGUAAAGGCCUACCAAGGCGACGAUCCGUAACUGGUCUGAGAGGAUGAUCAGUCACACUGGAACUGAGACACGGUCCAGACUCCUACGGGAGGCAGCAGUGGGGAAUAUUGGACAAUGGGCGAAAGCCUGAUCCAGCCAUGCCGCGUGUGUGAAGAAGGUCUUCGGAUUGUAAAGCACUUUAAGUUGGGAGGAAGGGCAGUAAGUUAAUACCUUGCUGUUUUGACGUACCAACAGAAUAAUCU
rnacentral:rRNA from 1 species